rnacentral:lncRNA from 1 species
UUUCUUCAAGCUAAGAUCUUCCUGGCUUGAAGCUCUUAAAAUUUCUUGUUACUGCAGUCUUCCUAAGACAUUCCAUCUGAUGGUUUAUUCUUUUGACUCUGCCAUUUUACUCAACUAAACCUCAAAAUUCUUGACUAUGGAAGCCUCCAGAGGUGUUGUUAAAGCUUUAACUCUUUCAUUAAAAGCCAUGUGACUUGCUUUAUCCAAUGGGAGGUUAGUAGAUGUGACACAAACAAAUGCUCGAAAGAGUACUUGCAUGUUUCCAUUUACGUUUCUGUUCUUGCCUUCUGUCAUCACCAUGACAACAUGCCCAGUCUGGCUCCUGGAGGAUGGGACACACAACGUGGGAACCGGCAAGUCACCAGAGUCAUCUCAGCCAAGAUCAACCAAUAGUCAAUUACCAGGAACGUGAGAGAAUUCUGAGACCAGGACUGCUCAGCCACCUCUGCCUAAAAUACCAACACACAGAACAGUAAAGUGAAUGGAUGUUUAUUAUCCUAAGCCACUAUAUUUUGAGAUUGUACCUCAUGCAGCACUAUUAUGACCAUAGGUGACUGAUAUAAAAAGUAAGGAAUUAUGAAUCAUAAGAAAAAGAUGAACCAAGGAAAGAAUCAGCUUUGAAGAGGUGGUAAACUAUGGGAGUUGGGUAUGCUUUUCUGCAAUGAUCUUGUCUUAUUUUCUUUUUUUUUAAAGGAAGGCCUACCUGAAUAAUUCUGUGCAGGAAGAUAAAAGCAAGAUUAGAGUGAGACCUAUUCAGGGAGGUGUCAUUUUGUGAGCAGUUCAUGACCAUACCCAAUAAUCAGGGUCUGUCUACAUAUCUGAAUUUUAAUCCUUACAUAUAUGGCCUUAGAUGAACUAAAAUAAUUAUAAGAAGUUGUGUCAUUGUAGACUUCUAUUAAUAAACAUAUACCUACAUAUAUACAUGUUUAUGCACAAGAAUCAGCCUGUAUAGGCAUAUUUACCUAGGCAUAUUCAUUGCAUAGUGCUCUCAUGGUUGUGACUUGGGUGGGUGUAGCAAAGUGACAGGCCAGGAUCUCACCACAUAGGAAGAACUUUGGUCUGGCCAAGACAGGGCCAGCUAGUGGCCUCCCUGCCAUUAGCUCUGUCUGCCACCCAAGACAGAAGAAGCCAACAGUCCAAAGGGACAUAGCAGCUUCAUUUUGGUUCUAGUUAGUGGUGCCAUAGAAGAGGAACAGGCAGAUAGGAUCUCAUCUAGGCCAUGAGACAAGCAAGAGUUCUCAAGAAGGGUAGACUCUUAGAAACAGGAGGCCAGUGAGACAUGGAUCUAAGAGGCAUAGCCAGGUAGAAGCAGCCCUAGUCAAUGGCUAGAAGUAUAAUAUCCCAAUAAAAGAGGCAUUCUUAGAAAGCUGGGCAGCAUCUCAGGACCACACAUGAUUGGGGAAAAGGGGUUGGUGAGGGGCAGACCCAGCCAGUUAGGCCUGUAGGUGCUGGGACAGGGUGGGGGAUGCAUUGUACCCACAGAAUAAAGCCAUAAGGGUGAAUAGCAAGAGCCACAUUGUGGAUCACCCUGGAGCAGGUGUCAGAGUGAAGCCUGACAUAUGGAAGCUCUAGGAACACAAUGGUAACCAGGGGAAUAGAGGAAGAAAGAGAGGUUUCAAGGCCUCAGUAAAGCUGAGACUCAGGAACAGCAGGUGUGCACAAGUGCUAAGUGGUCUGGAUUAAUUCACGAGCUGGGUGCCAAUGCCUGGCUCAGCUUCUAUGGGCUCCUGGAGGAUCCUUAAGAGGUGAUAAAGUUCAGGUAAAGACAGUGGACUGGGACCAGGCAGAGCCUGGGAUCCUGGGGUCAUAUCCAGCCCAUUACCAAAUCCUGUCAAUUAAACUUCCAAAAUGUCUCUGAGAUCUGCCUGGGGCUCUCAGCAUCUUUCCCACCAUUGUCUCUU